rnacentral:rRNA from 1 species
UACAGAGGGUGCAAGCGUUGUUCGGAUUUACUGGGCGUAAAGGGCGCGUAGGCGGUCGUGACAAGUCACUUGUGAAAUCUCCGGGCUUAACCCGGAGCGGUCAAGUGAUACUGUCGGACUAGAGUACAGAAGGGGCAACUGGAAUUCUCGGUGUAGCGGUGAAAUGCGUAGAUAUCGAGAGGAACACCUGCGGCGAAGGCGGGUUGCUGGGCUGAUACUGACGCUGAGGCGCGAAAGCCAGGGGAGCGAACGGG